UUUGAUCCUGGCUCAGAUUGAACGCUGGCGGCAGGCCUAACACAUGCAAGUCGAGCGGCAGCACGGGAAGCUUGCUUCCUGGUGGCGAGCGGCGGACGGGUGAGUAAUGCAUAGGAAUCUGCCCGGUAGUGGGGGAUAACCUGGGGAAACCCAGGCUAAUACCGCAUACGUCCUACGGGAGAAAGCAGGGGCUCUUCGGACCUUGCGCUAUCGGAUGAGCCUAUGUCGGAUUAGCUGGUUGGUGAGGUAAUGGCUCACCAAGGCGACGAUCCGUAGCUGGUCUGAGAGGAUGAUCAGCCACAUCGGGACUGAGACACGGCCCGAACUCCUACGGGAGGCAGCAGUGGGGAAUAUUGGACAAUGGGCGCAAGCCUGAUCCAGCCAUGCCGCGUGUGUGAAGAAGGCCCUCGGGUUGUAAAGCACUUUCAGUGGGGAAGAAAGCCUUCCGGUUAAUACCCGUCAGGAAGGACAUCACCCACAGAAGAAGCACCGGCUAACUCCGUGCCAGCAGCCGCGGUAAUACGGAGGGUGCGAGCGUUAAUCGGAAUUACUGGGCGUAAAGCGCGCGUAGGUGGCUUGAUAAGCCGGUUGUGAAAGCCCCGGGCUCAACCUGGGAACGGCAUCCGGAACUGUCAGGCUAGAGUGCAGGAGAGGAAGGUAGAAUUCCCGGUGUAGCGGUGAAAUGCGUAGAGAUCGGGAGGAAUACCAGUGGCGAAGGCGGCCUUCUGGACUGACACUGACACUGAGGUGCGAAAGCGUGGGUAGCAAACAGGAUUAGAUACCCUGGUAGUCCACGCCGUAAACGAUGUCGACUAGCCGUUGGGUCCUUCGCGGACUUUGUGGCGCAGUUAACGCGAUAAGUCGACCGCCUGGGGAGUACG
rnacentral:rRNA from 1 species